UCUAUUAGAAGAUCUUGAAGAGAAUCUCAAUUUAUGCACUUUUUUCCUUUGGAGAAAAGUGCAGAAAUAGUACUUGCAUGUGAGAAAUUCGGAGAAGCCUCUACAACAAGGGAGAUAGGGAAACCUGUUCUCUCUUGACCGCGGUCACUCUCUGGAAACAGAGGGGAGGACGGGUCUGCCCGUGAGGGCUCGGCGUCAAUCGACGCCCGCAGUUGGCAUCAGAAAUGUCAGGGCUGCUCUGUUCCUUUUGGGGAAUUGGAGAUGGUUCCUCUGGGAAGCUGCUGCGUAGAUUGUGUGUUGACACUUGAGUGCGAUGCGUGGCGUGGUCUAGCUGCCAUGAUUCGAUUCCGAUUAUUCUUCUUGGA
rnacentral:RNase_P_RNA from 2 species